CAUGUUUCUUUUAUUUCUUGAAUCCCUUGCAGUAAAAACGUUUUACUCGAAAUCUUUCUUGGAUAUUUGAAGUAUUUAUUCCCGUAUGAUGUACUACGCUGAACCCUGGAGUGUGAGUUAAUAACGAUUCCAGGCCAAUUCACACCUCCAGACACUGGCACAAUGUCACAGUGCGAAUCGUCCACAGUGGACACCCAGCACGGCUUCUCCACCAUUUAGCAGAACUGAUAAAGAACCCUGAAUGUGAGGAGAAACAUCUGAAAUGAAUCCAAGACCGGCUAUCUGUAGGAAUCUUUACACAGUAUAAAGAGUUCAGUAUACAGUAGAUCUCCUGGUUGGAGUCUCAUCGCUUAGUGGUCUGUUCUGCUGAGGAUAGAUCUACAUGGACAGCCCGUGACCUACUGGACUGCUGUGGACAGAUUUGUGCUCGGGUCUUCAUCAGUGAGCAUUUGAAGACAUCGGCAUAAGUGUUAAGUCUGUUAUAAACCUGCUCUUGGUCUUCUACAAAAUUCCACUCCACUACAAAAUGUUGUAGAAAUGACAUUAUUUACAUUUACAUCAUUUCCUGUCCAGUGUCACCCAAAUGAGGAUGAUGUUCAUUUCUGGUUCCUUUCAAGGUUUCUUCCUCAGAUCAUCUCAGGGACUUUUUCCUCACCACCGUCGCCUCAGUCUUGCUCAUUAUUUAUAGAUGUUAGAGUUGAAUUAAAGAUAAUUAAACUUAAAUUACAUUAAAGCACUAAUCAGUGUGAAAAUUGUGGUUUCUUUACGUUCACAGAUUUGUACUAGCAUCAAGAGCAGAGUAACAAAUUCUACUAUAAAUAUGUUUAACUUAUUAAAUCAAAUCGAAUAGAAUAUUUUCAGUGUCUUUGUACAGCUGUACAACAAGAUUAAGCCUCUAUCGUGUAAAAGCACACACACACACACACACACACAAUUGUGAGCCAAAUGUUUGUAUAUGUCAUUUUGAGAGCUCGAUCAAUGGACGGUUUUUAUUCUAGAGUAAUCCUCGGAAUCAUUUGUUGUUAGGAAAACAAAAUAAUCAGCUAAAACAAUUUUUUUUCCAGCCUGUAUUCGGUCAUUGCUAUGCUGCUAAUCACGUAUAUAUAAAUGAAAAUAAUCAACGGUUUAAUCUUACAGUCAGCUAUAAUUAUCUUAAUAAUCUUGUGUUGUGUAUUUGGUUGUGUUUCCUACAUAUUUGACAAAUAUCUCGCCCUUUUUUCUAUCUUUUUUCACACCUAGCAUCACCUAGCAAGAUACUGCUUUGCUAACUGGUUGCUUAGCUUACUCAUAGAUAAUGCUGUAUGAAACUUGUAUGAAAACAGGAUUUGUCCGGACUGUCCAUGCAUUCCUGAGGGUUAAACUAAGCUAAUCUGCUAACUUGCCGGUUUAGGUACUUCCUGAGUUGAAUUUCGAAAUGUGUGUGUGUGUGUGUGUGUGUGUGUUUUAACCUAUUUCACCUUCAUGACGUUGUAAUGCAAGAUCACGCUGCAAGUAGCUUGUGGUUUCUCACCAAUUCGGAAACUUCACACGUACCAUUAUAUUUUCAUACAAGCUGUAUCCAUUAUAGCAUAAAGACGCUAGUAACAUC